rnacentral:rRNA from 1 species
GACGAACCACACGAACGUUAUUCGGAAUUACUGGGCUUAAAGGGUGCGUAGGCGGCGCAGAAAGUUGGGUGUGAAAUCCCUCGGCUCAACCGAGGAACUGCGCCCAAAACUACUGUGCUUGAGGAAGAUAGAGGUAAGCGGAACUUACGGUGGAGCGGUGAAAUGCGUUGAUAUCGUAAGGAACACCUGUGGCGAAAGCGGCUUACUGGGUCUUUUCUGACGCUGAUGCACGAAAGCCAGGGGAGACAAACCGGGGAGUUAG